GACGAACGCUGGCGGCGUGCUUAACACAUGCAAGUCGAGCGGUAAGGCUCCUUCGGGAGUACACGAGCGGCGAACGGGUGAGUAACACGUGAGCAAUCUGCCCUUCACUCUGGGAUAACCCCCGGAAACGGGAGCUAAUACCGGAUACGACCACUUCAGGCAUCUGAUGGUGGUGGAACGUUCCGGCGGUGAAGGAUGAGCUCGCGGCCUAUCAGCUUGAUGGUGAGGUAAUGGCUAACCAUGGCUUCGACGGGUAGCCGGCCUGAGAGGGUGACCGGUCACACUGGGACUGAGACACGGCCCAGACUCCUACGGGAGGCAGCAGUGGGGAAUAUUGGACAAUGGGCGGAAGCCUGAUCCAGCAACGCCGCGUGAGGGAUGACGGCCUUCGGGUUGUAAACCUCUUUCAGCAGGGACGAAGCGCAAGUGACGGUACCUGCAGAAGAAGCACCGGCUAACUUCGUGCCAGCCGCCGCCGUAAUAC
rnacentral:rRNA from 1 species